GGAAGCCAGAGCAGGAAGCACAGGUCAGAAGAGGAGGGGGUAUUCUUUAAGUGGAAACUGUGCUGAGCUGUGAGGUCAGGCCAGAGUGGGGCUCCAUGGUACCAGCCCCUCCCUAGGGGUUUAACCUCAGCCAAGUUAUUUGGCGUCUCCAUGCCCAGCCUCCUAAUCUCAGGAAGCCUGUCCUGUGGCUGAGCUUCCUCGGCCCCAGAGGAUGCUGCACCUGAUCCGUGAUUCCUUCCUGACCUUUGGUUAUGCUGCCUAGAUCAGUUCCCCUGGUAACCUGACAAAGAGCUGAAGAGAUGCUCUCUGGUUGAUCUCAGACCCCAUGGAGGCAUACCAUGUGAUUAAGAAGCUGUGUGUUUGGAUUCUUCGCUGCUGGAGGAGGACUUAUGGGCAUAACAGGAAGAGGGUGACGCCUGCUAUUUAUUUAAAUAGAAGGAAAAAGAGCCUGAUUCCAGAGCACUUAAAUAACAAAGGCACUUCCCAGCCACUCAGCUUCCAUAGGAAAGACGUCUCGCAUGAUGGGUAAUGUCAGAUGAGUUCAGCACCUCAGCCCUUUCAUUUAUCAGUUGUAUGGUCUUGGGAAAAUUA